rnacentral:rRNA from 1 species
CACGUAGGGGACGAGCGUUGUCCGGAUUCAUUGGGCGUAAAGCGCGCGUAGGCGGCUCGGAAAGUCGGUCGUGAAAUGCCGGGGCUCAACCCCGGGACUGCGUCCGAUACUCCCGAGCUGGAGGCAGGUAGGGGAGAUCGGAAUUCCUGGUGUAGCGGUGAAAUGCGCAGAUAUCAGGAGGAACACCGGUGGCGAAGGCGGGUCUCUGGGCCGUAACUGACGCUGAGGAGCGAAAGCAUGGGGAGCGAACAGG